AGAGUUUGAUCAUGGCUCAGAUUGAACGCUGGCGGCGUGCUUAACACAUGCAAGUCGAUCGGUAACAGGUGUAGCAAUACAUGCUGACGAGAGGCGGACGGGUGAGGAAUGUUUGGGAAUCUGCCCAUCAGCGGGGGACAACCCGGGGAAACCCGGGCUAAUACCGCAUACGCUCUAUGGAGGAAAGCCGGGGACCGCAAGGCCUGGCACUGAUGGAUGAGCCCAAAUCGGAUUAGCUAGUUGGCGGGGUAACGGCCCACCAAGGCUACGAUCCGUAGCUGGUCUGAGAGGACGAUCAGCCACACCGGAACUGAGACACGGUCCGGACUCCUACGGGAGGCAGCAGUGGGGAAUAUUGGACAAUGGGCGAAAGCCUGAUCCAGCGACGCCGCGUGGGUGAAGAAGGCCUGCGGGUUGUAAAGCCCUUUCGGUAGGGACGAAAACCUUCGACUUAACACGUCGAGGGAUUGACUAACCUACAUAAGAAG
rnacentral:rRNA from 1 species